AACCGUUUAGGGGUAAACCUGAGAAACCCGAAAGGUCGAAGGGAGAAAUUCACCGCGUUUCGACGCAGGAGGCGUGCGGUCGAGCGACGGGGGACGUUCGCGUCCUCGGCGACUUCCGCGCGCGUCGAACCGGCGACGAACGCGUGCACUUUUCUCCUGGUAGGACGUCGCGAUCCGUCGGGUGUCGGUCUAAGGCUCGCGGUGGAGCCCGCCGUCGCGUUCGCGCGUCGGCGGACCCGCGUUGUUCCCGGCCGACUCGCUCGACGGUAUAGGAAUGGUCACGGGCCGCUCUCGGAGCGUUCGGCUCGCGGCAAGCGCGUCAGGAUCGUCGACGAUCGGACCUAGUGCCGUUUUCGACCCCUGGCGACUGUUGGCCGCGUAGUCCUCGAACAGACCCGCGCUUAAAAGACCGAUCCGCGACGCUAUAGCUUUGGGUACUUUCAGGA
rnacentral:rRNA from 1 species